UACGUAGGGCGCAAGCGUUGUCCGGAAUUAUUGGGCGUAAAGAGCUCGUAGGCGGCUUGUCACGUCGGAUGUGAAAGCCCGGGGCUUAACCCCGGGUCUGCAUUCGAUACGGGCAGGCUAGAGUGUGGUAGGGGAGAUCGGAAUUCCUGGUGUAGCGGUGAAAUGCGCAGAUAUCAGGAGGAACACCAGUGGCGAAGGCGGCUCGCUGGGACGGUACUGACGCUGAUGAGCGAAAGCCAGGGGAGCAAACGGG
rnacentral:rRNA from 1 species